rnacentral:rRNA from 1 species
UACAGAGGUCCCAAGCGUUGUUCGGAUUCACUGGGCGUAAAGGGUGCGUAGGUGGCGAGGUAAGUCGGAUGUGAAAGCCUCGGAGCUCACAUCGAAUGCAUUGGAAACUACCUUGCUCGAGGGAUGGAGGGGGGACUGGAAUUCGUCGGUGUACAGUGAAAUGCGUAGAUAAUCGAGAGGAACACCAGUGGCGAAGGCGAGUCCCUGGACAUCUCCUGACACUGAGGCACGAAAGCUAGGGGAGCAAACAGG